GAUGAAGAACGCAGCGAAAUGCGAUAAGUAAUGUGAAUUGCAGAAUUCAGUGAAUCAUCGAAUCUUUGAACGCACAUUGCGCCCGCCAGUAUUCUGGCGGGCAUGCCUGUCUGAGCGUCAUUUCAACCCUCAUGCCCCUAGGGCGUGGUGUUGGGGAUCGGCCAAAGCCCGCGAGGGACGGCCGGCCCCUAAAUCUAGUGGCGGACCCGUCGUGGCCUCCUCUGCGAAGUAGUGAUAUUCCGCAUCGGAGAGCGAUGAGCCCCUGCCGUCAAACCCCCAACUUUCCAAGGUUGACCUCAGAUCAGGUAGGAAUACCCGCUGAACUUAAGCAUAUCAAUAAGCGGAGGA
rnacentral:misc_RNA from 1 species